rfam:Chlorocebus sabaeus isolate 1994-021 chromosome 12, whole genome shotgun sequence.
AAAUAGGUUUUUUUUAAAACCAUAAAGAAGAGUUACAUGUUUUAA